rnacentral:rRNA from 1 species
CGCUCUUUGAAAAUAAAAGAUAAAGAGUCGAGCCUGCCCAGUGAUAGAUAUUUAACGGCCGCGGUACUCUGACCGUGCAAAGGUAGCAUAAUCAUUUGCCUUAUAAUUGAAGGCUAGUAUGAAUGGUUUGACGAAAACAAUACUGUCUCUUUUUAAUUUUAUAAAAUUUGAUUUUUAGGUGAAGAAGCCUAAAUAAAAUUGAAAGACAAGAAGACCCUAUCGAGCUUGAAAAAAUUUUGUUAAAAUAAAACGACUGUGAAAGACCGCUUAUGACAAAAAAUUUUAGUUGGGGCGACUAAGGAACAAAAAAGCUUCCGCUUUACUAUAAAAGCCUAUAAGCUAUGAUCCAAAAUUCUUGAUUAAAAGAAUUAGCUACCGUAGGGAUAACAGCAUAAUCUUUUUUGAGAGCUCUUAUCGAAAAAUAGGUUUGUGACCUCGAUGUUGGACUAGAAUAUCCUAAAUGAUGCAGAAGUCUUUAAGGGUUGGUCUGUUCGACCACUAAUAUUCUACGUGAUCUGAGUUCAGACCGG